UACGUAGGGUGCGAGCGUUAUUCGGAAUUACUGGGCGUAAAGCGUGCGCAGGCGGUUUUGUAAGUCCGAUGUGAAAGCCCCGGGCUUAACCUGGGAAUGGCAUUUGGGACUGCAAGGCUUGAGUGCGGCAGAGGAGACUGGAAUUCCCGGUGUAGCAGUGAAAUGCGUAGAUAUCGGGAGGAAUACCGAUGGCGAAGGCAGGUCUCUGGGCUGACACUGACGCUCAUGCACGAAAGCGUGGGGAGCAAACAGG
rnacentral:rRNA from 1 species